rnacentral:misc_RNA from 1 species
AACAAGGCGUACCUGCGGACCUGCGGAAGGAUCAUUACAGAGUUCGUGCCCUCGCGGGUAGAUCUCCCACCCUUGUGUAUUCCUUACAUUUUGUUGCUUUGGCAGGCCGUUGGUUCGCCAACCACCGGCUCUACGGGCUGGUGCGUGCCUGCCAGAGGACCCCCCAAACUCGGUUUGUUAGUGUCGUCUGAGUAACCAUAACAAUCGUUAAAACUUUUAACAACGGAUCUCAGAUCGGAA